rnacentral:misc_RNA from 1 species
GAUGAAGAACGCAGCGAAAUGCGAUAAGUAAUGUGAAUUGCAGAAUCCAGUGAAUCAUCGAAUCUUUGAACGCACAUUGCGCCCGCCAGCAUUCUGGCGGGCAUGCCUGUUCGAGCGUCAUUUCAACCCUCGACCUCCCCUUGGGGAGGUCGGCGUUGGGGACCGGCAGCACACCGCCGGCCCUGAAAUGGAGUGGCGGCCCGUCUGCGGCGACCUUUGCGUAGUAAUACAGCUCGCACCGGAACCCCGACGCGGCCACGCCGUAAAACACCCAACUUCUGAACGUUGACCUCGAAUCAGGUAGGACUACCCGCUGAACUUAAGCAUAUCAAUAGCGGAGGA